UACAAACAUUAACCAGACUUUUUACUGUCAUAACAUGACAUAAUCAUACCAAUCCUCAUCUUUCCUUUCACAUUCAAUCCCUGUUCUUCAAUAAAUACAAACAUUAACCAGACUUUUACUGUCAUAACAUGACAUAAUCAUACCAAUCCUCAUCUUUCCUUUCACAUUCAAUCCCUGUUCUUCAAUAAAUACAAACAUUAACUAGACUUUUACUGUCAUAACAUGACAUAAUCAUACCAAUCCUCAUCUUUCCUUUCACAUUCAAUCCCUGUUCUUCAAUAAAUACAAACAUUAACCAGACUUUUACUGUCAUAACAUGACAUAAUCAUACCAAUCCUCAUCUUUCCUUUCACAUUCAAUCCCUGUUCUUCAAUAAAUACAAACAUUAACCAGACUUUUACUGUCAUAACAUGACAUAAUCAUACCAAUCCUAAUCUUUCCUUUCACAUUCAAUCCCUGUUCUUCAAUAAAUACAAACAUUAACCAGACUUUUACUGUCAUAACAUGACAUAAUCAUACCAAUCCUCAUCUUUCCUUUCACAUUCAAUCCCUGUUCUUCAAUAAAUACAAAAACAUGCUGAUUAUUACCUAACUGGGUCGUUGAUUGUAGACUUUACUAUCUGUAGGAAGGUAAUUGACUCUGGAUAAAAAAAUAUGCUGUCUGUUUCUAUGACUGUAUAUGGCUCAGCUAAUGAUAAACAUACCCUAACCCUCCUUUGAGCUUCAGUCACCAGCACCAUCUCUCACCUAAAUUCAGUUUGUUUUCUGGUCAUUAGUGUCCACUGUCCACCAAUGUUAUUUAAGCAAUAACACACAAGGGGGUGUUGGAGCCUAGUGGUUAGAGCGUUGGGCCAUUAACCGAAAGGUUGCAGAUUGAAUCCCCGAGCUGACAAGGUAAAAAUCUGUUGUUCUGCCCCUAAACAAGGCAGUUAACCCAAUGUUCCUAGGCUGUCAUUGUAAAAAAUAUUUUUUUCUUAACUGACUUCCCAGGUAAGGAAAUAAAUAAUAUAUAUAUACAUACUACGGUCUGCUAUACCAUGGCUGUCAGCCAAUCAGUAUUCACGACUCCAACCACCCAGUUUAUAAUAAAGAAGGAUUCUGGAAAAUAUGCUGUCUGUUUCUAUGACUGUGUCAUGACUCUCCUGUGAGGAUCUGAAGGAUCAGGUUAGAGUGGGUCUGCUCUACAGCCUGUUCUCUCUCGUAGAGGGGAAUGUCAUGACUCUCCUGUGACGAUCUGAAGGAUCAGGUUAGAGUGGGUCUGCUCUACAGCCUGUUCUCUCUCGUAGAGGGGGAAUGUCAUGACUCUCCUGUGACGAUCUGAAGGAUCAGGUUAGAGUGGGUCUGCUCUACAGCCUGCUCUCUCUCGUAGAGGGGAAUGUCAUGACUCUCCUGUGACGAUCUGAAGGAUCAGGUUAGAGUGGGUCUGCUCUACAGCCUGCUCUCUCUCGUAGAGGGGAAUGUCAUGACUCUCCUGUGACAUUCUGAAGGAUCAGGUUAGAGUGGGUCUGCUCUACAGCCUGCUCUCUCUCGUAGAGGGGAAUGUCAUGACUCUCCUGUGACGAUCUGAAGGAUCAGGUUAGAGUGGGUCUGCUCUACAGCCUGCUCUCUCUCGUAGAGGGGGAAUGUCAUGACUCUCCUGUGAUGAUCUGAAGGAUCAGGUUAGAGUGGGUCUGCUCUACAGCCUGCUCUCUCUCGUAGAGGGGGAAUGUCAUGACUCUCCUGUGACGAUCUGAAGGAUCAGGUUAGAGUGGGUCUGCUCUACAGCCUGCUCUCUCUCGUAGAGAGGAAUGUCAUGACUCUCCUGUGAUGAUGUGAAGGAUCAGGUUAGAGUGGGUCUGCUCUACAGCCUGCUCUCUCUCGUAGAGAGGAAUGUCAUGACUCUCCUGUGACGAUCUGAAGGAUCAGGUUAGAGUGGGUCUGCUCUACAGCCUGCUCUCUCUCGUAGAGGGGAAUGUCAUGACUCUCCUGUGACGAUCUGAAGGAUCAGGUUAGAGUGGGUCUGCUCUACAGCCUGCUCUCUCUCGUAGAGGGGGAAUGUCAUGACUCUCCUGUGAUGAUCUGAAGGAUCAGGUUAGAGUGGGUCUGCUCUACAGCCUGCUCUCUCUCGUAGAGGGGGAAUGUCAUGACUCUCCUGUGACGAUCUGAAGGAUCAGGUUAGAGUGGGUCUGCUCUACAGCCUGCUCUCUCUCGUAGAGGGGGAAUGUCAUGACUCUCCUGUGAUGAUCUGAAGGAUCAGGUUAGAGUGGGUCUGCUCUACAGCCUGCUCUCUCUCGUAGAGGGGGAAUGUCAUGACUCUCCUGUGACGAUCUGAAGGAUCAGGUUAGAGUGGGUCUGCUCUACAGCCUGCUCUCUCUCGUAGAGGGGGAAUGUCAUGACUCUCCUGUGAUGAUCUGAAGGAUCAGGUUAGAGUGGGUCUGCUCUACAGCCUGCUCUCUCUCGUAGAGGGGGAAUGUCAUGACUCUCCUGUGACGAUCUGAAGGAUCAGGUUAGAGUGGGUCUGCUCUACAGCCUGCUCUCUCUCGUAGAGAGGAAUGUCAUGACUCUCCUGUGACGAUCUGAAGGAUCAGGUUAGAGUGGGUCUGCUCUACAGCCUGCUCUCUCUCAUAGAGAGGAAUGUCAUGACUCUCCUGUGACGAUCUGAAGGAUCAGGUUAGAGUGGGUCUGCUCUACAGCCUGCUCUCUCUCAUAGAGAGGAAUGUCAUGACUCUCCUGUGACGAUCUGAAGGAUCAGGUUAGAGUGGGUCUGCUCUACAGCCUGCUCUCUCUCGUAGAGGGGAAUGUCAUGACUCUCCUGUGACGAUCUGAAGGAUCAGGUUAGAGUGGGUCUGCUCUACAGCCUGUUCUCUCUCGUAGAGGGGGAGAGCGGGAAGUCGGCUGUUUUCUGGUCGGUCAUAAAAUACGCUGCCCCUAUGCUCUGUAGUGUUCGAGUUUGGAAUGUAAACUGUGGAAUACAGAGAGACACUUGGACAUCAAAAGUUUGAUUAAUUAAACAAUAUUUCUACUUUUGAGAAUGUGGCAAUGGUCCGUGGACACUAAGGGACAGUCAUGACGAGCGUGUUUCAUUUGGUGACCUCAUGAAGAACAGGAAACACACAUUACUGAAUCUCUGUUUGUGGACACUUUCAAGGUUUACAUCUACAUUUUGUGAAACGUAUGUGAUUAAACAUGAAACUAUUUGUGAAAAGAUGUAAUGUGAUGUUAACCUUCAAAAUGAGAGAAUUGUCUUCCAUGUAAAGUAUUAACCAGGUCAGUGGCCACGUGAUCAUAGACAUUACGUCAGCGUCAUGGACCACCCUUUUCUCAGACGUGUAUAAAACCCACUCCUGGCGAAAUUUACAUUAGACCAGACAGCGUGCAGCGAUGGCUACACAGCUGGAAAUGGUUCAAAUCUGAGACUAUAGAUGACUACAGAAUAAGAGCAAAUACUAGCUGUUCAUGUGUAAACCAUUAGCAUUUCAAUGAAUAUAAUUAUCGACUGUGCGUAGUGAAUCCAUUUUGUCUUUCCCGCUCUUUUAUCUGUCCCCACCCCUUUCCAUUGUCUACCAAGCCGUCAUACCGGUUUAGCCCACCUAGGGACUUAUCAAUGCAUUGUGUUAGUAACCAAUAACUGUUUGUUUGUUAUGUAUUCCUGUGAUUAUUUAGUUAGUUAGUAAAUAAAUAAUUAAGCCAA